rnacentral:rRNA from 1 species
UGAGGAAUAUUGCGCAAUGGGCGAAAGCCUGACGCAGCAACGCCGCGUGGAGGAUGAAGGUGCUUUGCAUUGUAAACUCCUGUAGGGAGGGACGAAUGGCCUGGUAUUGCCGGGUCUGGACGGUACCUCCAAAGUAAGCACCGGCUAACUCCGUGCCAGCAGCCGCGGUAAUACGGAGGGUGCAAGCGUUGUCCGGAUUUACUGGGUGUAAAGGGCGUGUAGGCGGGGGAAUGUGUCAGAAGUGAAAUCGUGCGGCUUAACCGUGUCAAUUGCUUCUGAAACUGUUCCUCUUGAAUGCAGCAGAGGCAGAUGGAAUUCCAGGUGUAGCGGUGGAAUGCGUAGAUAUCUGGAAGAACACCAGUGGCGAAGGCGGUCUGCUGGGCUGUGAUUGACGCUGAGGCGCGAAAGUGUGGGGAGCAAACAGG